AUAUUUACCGGGCACGGGAGAUACCGGAUCUAAAGGGUUUUUUCCCCCAAGGCGGGCUCACCUUGCACCCCGGGUGGCGCUGACCCUUGCGUUUAAAACCAAAAUGUGGUUAACUCGAGUGCGCAAUUUUUGUUAGUGGGGACUGCUUUCGCGCUACCCCCCC